rnacentral:rRNA from 1 species
UGGGGAAUAUUGCACAAUGGGCGAAAGCCUGAUGCAGCAACGCCGCGUGAGUGAUGAAGGUCUUCGGAUUGUAAAGCUCUGUCUUUUGGGACGAUAAUGACGGUACCAAAGGAGGAAGCCACGGCUAACUACGUGCCAGCAGCCGCGGUAAUACGUAGGUGGCGAGCGUUGUCCGGAUUUACUGGGCGUAAAGGGUGCGUAGGCGGAUGUUUAAGUGAGAUGUGAAAUACCCGGGCUUAACUUGGGUGCUGCAUUUCAAACUGGAUAUCUAGAGUGCAGGAGAGGAGAAUGGAAUUCCUAGUGUAGCGGUGAAAUGCGUAGAGAUUAGGAAGAACACCAGUGGCGAAGGCGAUUCUCUGGACUGUAACUGACGCUGAGGCACGAAAGCGUGGGUAGCAAACAGAAUUAGAUACCCUGGUAGUCCACGCCGUAAACGAUGAGUACUAGGUGUAGGAGGUAUCGACCCCUUCUGUGCCGCAGUAAACACAUUAAGUACUCCGCCUGGGAAGUACGAUCGCAAGAUUAAAAC